UGGGGAAUAUUGCACAAUGGGCGAAAGCCUGAUGCAGCAACGCCGCGUGCGGGAUGACGGCCUUCGGGUUGUAAACCGCUUUCAGUAGGGACGAAGCUAACGUGACGGUACCUACAGAAGAAGCACCGGCCAACUACGUGCCAGCAGCCGCGGUGAUACGUAGGGUGCGAGCGUUGUCCGGAAUUAUUGGGCGUAAAGGGAUUGUAGGCGGUCCGUCGCGUCGAAAGUGAAAACUCAGGGCUCAACCCUGAGCCUGCUUUCGAUACGGGCGGACUAGAGGUAUGCAGGGGAGAACGGAAUUCCUGGUGGAGCGGUGGAAUGCGCAGAUAUCAGGAGGAACACCGGUGGCGAAGGCGGUUCUCUGGGCAUUACCUGACGCUGAGAAUCGAAAGCGUGGGGAGCAAACAG
rnacentral:rRNA from 1 species